AUGAAGGGCGUACUAAUCUGCGAUAAGCGCCGGUAAGGUGAUAUGAACCGUUAUAACCGGCGAUACCCGAAUGGGGAAACCCAGUGUGAUUCGUCACACUAUCAUUAACUGAAUCCAUAGGUUAAUGAGGCGAACCGGGGGAACUGAAACAUCUAAGUACCCCGAGGAAAAGAAAUCAACCGAGAUUCCCCCAGUAGCGGCGAGCGAACGGGGAGGAGCCCAGAGCCUGAAUCAGCAUGUGUGUUAGUGGAAGCGUCUGGAAAGGCGCGCGAUACAGGGUGACAGCCCCGUACACAAAAGCGCAUGUGCUGUGAGCUCGAUGAGUAGGGCGGGACACGUGGUAUCCUGUCUGAAUAUGGGGGGACCAUCCUCCAAGGCUAAAUACUCCUGACUGACCGAUAGUGAACCAGUACCGUGAGGGAAAGGCGAAAAGAACCCCGGCGAGGGGAGUGAAAAAGAACCUGAAACCGUGU
rnacentral:rRNA from 2 species